GACGAACGCUGGCGGCGUGCCUAAUACAUGCAAGUAGGACGCAGUUGCGUACGGGUGAGUAACGCGUAGGUAACUGCCUAUUCGUGGCGGAUAACUAUUGGAAACGAUAGCUAAUACCGCAUACUAGUCGAUGGACCUGCGUUGUAUUAGCUAGUAGGUAGGGUAAAGGCCUACCUAGGCGACGAUACGUAGCCGAUCUGAGAGGGUGAUCGGCCACACGGGGACUGAGACACGGUCCAGACUCCUACGGGAGGCAGCAGUGGGGAAUAUUGGACGAUGGGCGAAAGCCUGAUCCAGCCAUGCCGCGUGUAUGAAGAAGGUCUUCGGAUUGUAAAGCACUUUAAGUUGGGAAGCGUUACCAACAGAAUAAGCACCGGCUAACUUCGUGCCAGCCGCCGCGGUAAUAC
rnacentral:rRNA from 1 species